rnacentral:rRNA from 1 species
UGGGGAAUAUUGCACAAUGGGCGGAAGCCUGAUGCAGCAACGCCGCGUGAGUGAUGAAGGCCUUCGGGUUGUAAAGCUCUGUCUUUUGGGACGAUAAUGACGGUACCAAAGGAGGAAGCCACGGCUAACUACGUGCCAGCAGCCGCGGUAAUACGUAGGUGGCAAGCGUUGUCCGGAUUUACUGGGCGUAAAGGAUGCGUAGGCGGAUUUUUAAGUGAGAUGUGAAAUACCCGGGCUUAACUUGGGUGCUGCAUUUCAAACUGGGAAUCUAGAGUGCGGGAGAGGAGAAUGGAAUUCCUAGUGUAGCGGUGAAAAUGCGUAGAGAUUAGGAAGAACACCAGUGGCGAAGGCGAUUCUCUGGACCGUAACUGACGCUGAGGCAUGAAAAGCGUGGGUAGCAAAACAGGAUUAGAUACCCUGGUAGUCCACGCCGUAAACGAUGAGUACUAGGUGUAGGAGGUAUCGACCCCUUCUGUGCCGCAGUUAACACAAAUAAGUACUCCGCCUGGGAAGUACGAUCGCAAGAUUAAAAACUU